rnacentral:lncRNA from 1 species
UUAACCUAGGAUUCAAGGGUGAAUGUACUAGGGAUUGAACUUGACUUAUUUCCCGUUCUAGGGUUCAGUUCGUUAAAUUCAAGAUUCUAUAGUGAAUGUACUAGGGAUUCAGCUUGACUUAUUUCUCAUUCCAACGUGCGAUCCGCUUGCCUUAGGAUGCAAAUGGUUGAUGUACUAGAGAUUUAGCUUGACUUAUUUUCCAGUCCAAGGUGCGAUCCAUUUGCAUCAGGAUGCUAAGGGUGAAUGUACUAGGGUUUCAGCUGGACUUAUUAACCGUUACAACGU